CCAUCUGACCCAAUUUUAUUUAAAAAAAGUAAAUAAUCUUUAAUAUUUCAAUUUUCUCCUAAGUCCCUCCCCUACCCUGUAGAGCUCAGCCAAUAUUUCUGCAAGCCUAACGCGUUGACCAAUAGCGCUGCGUUACCACCAGAGGUAGCUGUCAAUCAUCGAGCAUGAGCAGGUCUCAGCGUGCACAACAGUGUCACGCGCCUCACUCGGCUUACUGCAGAAACAUGGAGCAACAAAACCCCAAAUUACCGAUUCCUCGACUGCCUUCCACAUCUCAAAAAACAUUUAAAAAGUUUAAAAGCCCUUCUUCAAAAGUGGCUGUAAGACGUUUAAGACAGUCGAGUAGAAUUUACAUUGGAGAUUGUUUUAAACGAUGGAGAGAUUUUCGUGAUCUACACGGCCUGAAAACGGAUGAAGAGUUGGCAAAGUAUCUUUUGGACAGGACAUGUGGAUCGGUCUACUCCAUCAUGUGACUGGAGAACAUGAGUGGUCUCUGGAUGCUUGUCAGCAUGAUCCUUUACUAAGUGACAGAGAGAAAGACUGGAUUCAGAAAGUCUCCACUGCACACAAAGCCCUCAGUGACAUCAUUCUCAGUGAACGCUGGCUGAAAGAAGUCCCAAAAUAUUUGCAAUUCAGGUACUGUAUUUAAUUAUAGCUAUAAAUAAUAAUAUAAUUGUUCUAAAUGUUAAAUACUUGUUUUAGAUCUACAGCAAAUUUGGAGGCGUUUCACAACCAUCUCCUAAUGUAUGCAAGCAAAAGAUUCAGUUACAUCCCACCUGUUUACGAGGCACGGAUACUGCUUGCUGCACUGGACUACAAUCACCACUCACAUCGAGAAGUGAAGAGGAGAGCAGAUGGAUCGAUACAAUACCAUAUAAUAUUCAACAAAAAAUCAAGAUGCUGGAGGCUGUAUUCUGAGAAGGUGGCAAAAGACUACUCCUAAAUCCCAGAGAUCCAAACCAUGAUCGUCAACCAACGUUUGACAAGCAAGAAAGGUCUUCCUCAA